ACCACUCACCGCCACCACCAGUGCACUCUCCUCCACCUCCUUACCAUUACAUUUCACCACCGCCGCCACCAAAGAAGCCGUACAAAUACCAUUCUCCUCCUCCACCAGUUUACAAGUACAAGUCUCCACCACCACCCUAUAAAUACCCUUCUCCACCACCACCACCAAAAAAACCUUACAAAUAUCUCUCUCCUCCACCACCAGUUUACAAAUCUCCUCCUCCUCCUUAUAAGUACCCUUCUCCUCCACCUCCACCGUAUAAAUAUCCAUCUCCACCACCACCAGUUUAUAAGUACAAAUCACCUCCUCCACCAGUGUAUAAAUACAAAUCUCCUCCACCUCCACCUAAAAAGCCAUAUAAGUAUCCAUCUCCACCUCCCCCUGUUUAUAAAUACAAAUCUCCACCACCACCAGUUUACAAGUACAAAUCACCUCCUCCACCAGUGUAUAAGUACAAAUCUCCUCCACCUCCACCUAAAAAGCCAUAUAAGUAUCCAUCUCCACCUCCCCCCGUUUACAAAUACAAAUCUCCACCACCACCGGUGUACAAAUCUCCACCUCCUCCCGUUUACAAAUACAAGUCACCACCACCCCCAGUGUACAAAUACAAAUCUCCACCUCCCCCCGUUUACAAAUACAAGUCACCACCACCCCCAGUGUACAAGUACAAAUCUCCACCACCACCAGUGUAUAAAUCUCCACCACCACCCUACAAGCAUAUAUCUCCACCACCAACGCCCAAGAAACCAUACAAGUACCCAUCACCACCACCACCAGUUUAUAAAUACAAAUCUCCACCACCACCAUACAAGUACCCAUCCCCACCACCACCUCCGUACAAAUAUCCAUCACCACCACCACCAGUCUACAAAUAUAAGUCUCCCCCACCACCGUACAAGUACCCAUCACCUCCACCGCCACCAUACAAAUAUCCAUCACCACCACCUCCAGUUUACAAGUAUAAGUCCCCUCCUCCACCUGUUUAUUCACCACCUCCACCACAUUAUGUUUAUGCUUCACCUCCUCCUCCGGUCUAUUCCCCUCCUCCACCGCAUUACAUCUAUGCAUCACCUCCUCCUCCUUACCAUUAAUAGAGAGUGGUUUACCAUAUCAUCCAUGGUAUGCUUCUUCGUACGUACAACCUACAUAAAACAAUUCAUAAUAAAACGUAUUAAUCUUUAAAAAAGAUAAUUAUUUAUACAUACAUCAACAUACUAGAGUUGUUUAAUAUGGUUAUCAUCUAAAUUGAACUUCAUUAUUUUUAACAAAUUAUAAUAAAUAUUGUAUUUGCUUUUCAUUUUUUCUUAUUAUAAAAUUUAUUUUUUAUUAAAAAAAUUAAAAAUUCAUCUUUAAAUUAUAUUUUUAGAAGUUUAUAUUAGACAUGUUCCAAGAUAUUAUAUAUUUUAUCAAUGAAAUAAUUAAAUAAGAGAAAAAAAUAAGUUAAGUUAUUUGAAUACUUUUGCAUGCCGGCACAUGUAAGUCAUUAUCUUAAUAAGCCUCACUUUUAACUCAUUCCUAUAAUCUAAAUUGUACAUAAAAUUAAAAAAGUAUAUAUUAUUAGUGUAAAAUUGUUUUACACCAACAUCAAAUAACAAUUUAUUAUUUUGUUAUAUUAUAUCAUAUUUUUAUAUUUAUUUUGAAAUUGAUUAUAUAAUAUGAAAAUAUAAUGAAUUUUCAUUAAAUGUCAAUAUAAAAUUAGUUUUUACUAACAAUAUAUGGCCACUACACUCAUUGUACAUAACCGUGAUUCCCAAUCAAUCAUAUAUAGUUUAUAUGCAAGUAGCUUUUUUUUUUUUUUUUUAUUCAAACAAGUUUUCAUAUUGAGUCAAAAACAAAGUUUUUAUAUUAAUGUACAAAUUAAGGUAUAUACAUAUAUAUGCUUGUCUGUUGAUACAGUAUAUGGUAUUUUUAAUAUUAGACCUUUUAAAAAAUGGAUUUAAAUGUGGACUCUUCCCAAACACUUGUUAAUGUUUCCCUUAUUUUUAUUGAAAACCGAUGAAACAUCAUAAAUGUGUUGUAGUAGGUGAGAUCAUAAAGUCAUUAAACUAGGACUAUCCAACAUGCCUUACAUUUCAUUAUAAUUUCCUUUUAAAGAAUAUAUUUUAAGGCAUGGUCGUAUUGUCCGAUUUUGGUUUGCUUUUCGAGAUAUUUAUCAUUAAAAAAAACGUUUUAUUAAAAUUAAUCUAAGAUUUUUACCUUUAUUUUUUUAUUUAUUAUUGAACUAAAAAAGAAAUACAAUUCAAAAUCAAAGUUUAUAGUUAUGCUUAUUCAGUUCGUUUGAUACAGGUUGAAAUAAAAAGUAAUGAAAUUCUUAAAUAAAUAAAAAAAAGUAAUGAAAUUUUACUAUCAUUAAAAUAAAUAAAAAAAAACUCAAGUUGUUUGAUUCUUAUUUUCCAACAUUUGAUAAACCUAAUAAAAAAUUUAGUUAGAUUAUAUAAUGUUUAGGGAACUUCUACUGUACAUUCACAAAUUAAAAGGUUUUAUGACAUUUGUUAUCUAAACCAAUAAAUUAAUGACAAUUUUCGUGAAUCAAUGAGUUAUUUGUUGACUUUUGUAUUUUAAGAAAGAUCAUUCAUAAGAAAAAAUAUUUCAUUGUUUAUAAGUAUUAUACUAAUUUUUUAUAUUGUAUUGUAAAUAAUAUUCAAUGUGUACUGUUAUGAGUAAUAUAAAUUCAAAAAAAUAAGAAUUUUAUUUCACUCACAUUUUUGGUAAAGAAUUUUUAAUUAUUAUAUUUUUUAAAUGAUAGAAAUAAUUUUUUUCAAAAAAAAAAAAAAAAACUCGUUUAACUGUUAAUUUAAAGAUCAAAUAUUUUAAUAUAUGUCGAAUUGACUUAUGUAGAGUAAAAUUUCACUUACAUCUAAGGUUAAAUAUUUCUCAUCUGCAUUGUUGAAUCGACUUAUUAGUGAAAGAGAUUUAUUUAUAUAUUUAUGUGUGUAUACUUUUGUAGGAUUUGAGGAAUAUAUCGAAAAUAAAGCGAAGAUAGUGCACAUAAGGAAUAUGCAUUGUGCAAUUAUACAAAGGAAAAAUAGUGGAAGCAAAGUUUCUGAAGAUGUAUCGCACAAUUAUUAAUUUGUCUCAUAAAAAGAAAAAAGUGUCACUCUUUUUCUCUUCGUGUGUUUUAUUUAGGAAUAAAUUAUAUUCUCAUUAUUGUAUGAAUUUUGAAUUUAAGAUGUUGUAAAGCACUUUGUGUCAUACCGUAUGUCAUUUAAUCAUAUAUGUGAAUGCAUUUUGUUUUAAUUGCAACUUAAUCGUUUGCAAAGGGUUGCGAAGCCAAAUCAAUGUUAAAUAAAAAUUGAAUAUAUCUCCUUCUAAGUCAUGGUACUUUGAAUAACAAAUUCUCCUAAAAAACUAACAA
rnacentral:lncRNA from 1 species